AAGAGAAAGCAGUAGCCGCGGGAAUACGGAGGGUGCAAGCGUUAAUCGGAAUUACUGGGCGUAAAGCGCACGCAGGCGGUCUGACAAGUCAGAUGUGAAAUCCCCGGGCUUAACCUGGGAACUGCAUUUGAAACUGUCAGGCUGGAGUCUUGUAGAGGGGGGUAGAAUUCCAGGUGUAGCGGUGAAAUGCGUAGAGAUCUGGAGGAAUACCGGUGGCGAAGGCGGCCCCCUGGACAUAGACUGACGCUCAGGUGCGAAAGCGUGGGGAGCAAACAGGAUUAGAUACCCGAGUAGUCCCUGUCUCUUAUAC
rnacentral:rRNA from 1 species